CCUACGGGUGGCAGCAGUGGGGAAUAUUGGGCAAUGGGCGCAAGCCUGACCCAGCAACGCCGCGUGAAGGAAGAAGGCUUUCGGGUUGUAAACCUCUUUUAAGAGGGAAGAGCAGAAGACGGCACCUCUUGUAUAAGCCACGGCUUACUACGCGACAGCAGCCGCGGGAAUACGGAGGUCGCAAGUGUUGUCCGGAUUUACUGGGUGUAAAGGGAGUGUAGGCGGGCUGACAAGUCAGAUGUGAACUCUCGUGGCUCAACCACGGAACUGCAUUUGAAACUGUCAGUCUUGAGUAUCGGAGAGGCAGGCGGAAUUCCUAGUGUAGCGGUGAAAUGCGUAGAUAUUAGGAGGAACACCGGUGGCGAAGGCGGCCUGCUGGACGACAACUGACGGUGAGGCGCGAAAGCGUGGGGAGCAAACAGGAUUAGAUACCCGAGUAGUC
rnacentral:rRNA from 1 species